UACGUAGGGUGCAAGCGUUAAUCGGAAUUACUGGGCGUAAAGCGUGCGCAGGCGGUUAUUUAAGUCAGAUGUGAAAUCCCCGGGCUCAACCCGGGAACUGCAUUUGUGACUGUUUAGCUAGAGUACGGUAGAGGGGGAUGGAAUUCCGCGUGUAGCAGUGAAAUGCGUAGAUAUGCGGAGGAACACCGAUGGCGAAGGCAAUCCCCUGGACCUGUACUGACGCUCAUGCACGAAAGCGUGGGGAGCAAACAGG
rnacentral:rRNA from 1 species